GUCUUUCAUAAUGAGACUGUAGCUGUUCUCUGGGAAUGGCAUCCUGCUCAUGUGCUCAUUUCUUCAGCAGAGGCUUUGGAAGCAGCUCUGCAGGAUGUCCUGGGACCAGUGUGACACAACUGGGAGUACCAGCUAGCUGAAAAACUCGCUUCAGAAGCACUCGGCCAUGGCCUGCUGAGGAACUGGAGAGGCCUCGUCUGAGAUGUGCAGAAAGCUCACACCAGUUUAAAGAUACAUGAAUUCUGCUCUGUCAUAACCAUACGAUGCCAAAAAGACCUGCUGCUGCUUCCAGUGACUGACUGCUCAUCUGAUGGGUCUCAGUUCCGAAGUCCAAAAUGAGAUUCCUCUGCUUAAGGACUGGCUAUUCAGAGAUGCACUUGGAGUCCUGCGGCUGCUCCUGAAAUCAGUGGGAACUGACUUCAGGCACCACUGAAACUCACUCCUGGCUCUCCCAGAUGCCUUUUUUUAAUUGAAGAUGCUUGGAUGUUACAAGGUGCUUCUAACAAGAAGAAUGCAGGGUGCGUCAUGCACCGAAGUCACACUGUAACAGGAACAGAAGCAGCUGUGUUUGCACUGCCCGCUCACAGGUAUGUAAUAUCAGAUUCUGCUGUUAAUUCUCUUUGUCUCCUGGAAAUAUCCGUGUCAGACUUUUAUCGCUUGCACACAUAGGAGGUCCACAUUCAUAACAGGCAAUUUCAAAUGCAAAGAAGUUCUGUGCACUUUGCUGUUAAUUCUGUAGCAUUGCCAGUGCUGCUUUUGUAAUUUACUCAAUUUCAUUUGUCACUAAUUGUGUCUGCUUCUUCCCAAAAGUUUUGUCUCUGGGAAAUCUAAGCCACAUCUUCCCUCUUCAUCAGCAGUGGUACAUCUGUGUGCAAGGACAUACGGCUGCAUAUCAAAUAGCACUGCCAUGCUCUGCCAUUCACCAUCACUCUUCAGGAUGCUGAUGAAUGUGCUGACAGACAAAGGCUAAUUGGCAGACUGUACGGAGUCAGAUUUUGAUGACACAGUAGAAAUAAUAGGAGAUGGAGCAGGUAACAAAGAAAGUUUAGAGGGAAUAAUAAUAGAGAGAUAGACAGAGAGCAUUUCAUGCAAAGAGAGCACACAGGCUGAAAUACAGCAGGAGGGAACUGCAGGGCCCCAGAAAUGCACCAAAAAAAAAAAAAAAAGGAAGCAGGUAAAGGAGAGCUAACUCUGCAUUUAGUGCUGCUACAGCAGAGAGAGGAAAAUCCUCUGAUAUGAAGGUAGGUUUGCAGCUGAACUUUGAAAACUGUGAUCUGUUUCACUGCAGUGUUUGGUUAGGAUUCCUGAGCCAACAGCAAACCUGAACCCAUCCUCCUGAAUGCCUGAACUUGCUGUGCCUUUCAUAUUCCAUCCUUUAGGAUUGAUAGGGAGUGGUUCCACCUGAUUUUCACCUUGAGAGUUGGGUGCACACAAUUUUUAUGAAUGCAAGCACGGGGCAUUCAUUGGCAAGACAAUAAAUUCAUUGGCAAGCACA
rnacentral:lncRNA from 1 species